rnacentral:misc_RNA from 1 species
GGAAGGAUCAUUAGUAGUUUCUUUCUUUUUUGGAAGAUAUAUCCAUGUGCACUGUUUCUUUUUAGAAGCCUUUUUUUUUGUCGUACAUUUUUGUAACAAAGUAAAAAAAAAAAACUUUCAACAACGGAUCUCUUGGCUCUCGCAUCGAUGAAGAACGCAGCGAAAUGCGAAAAGUAAUGUGAAUUGCAGAAUUCAGUGAAUCAUCGAAUCUUUGAACGCACAUUGCACUCUUUGGUAUUCCGAAGAGUAUGCCUGUUUCAGUAUCAUUUUACAUGAUCAGCUUUUCGUUUAGAGUUUAGACGUUUAGUUGGAUUUGACUUUUUAUUUUUUUGGCUCAACUGAAAAAGUUGCUAAGAAAAAAGAGUCGAAAAGCAGCAAAAGUAAUCGCGUACUCCUUGUCCAUUACGGACAUUGUUCGCAUUCUACUUUUGAGGCAUUGUUUUUUCUUCUGAAAAAAGGCCGUGGUCUUUUUCUCCCAGAAAACGCCCCUAAAGUUUUGGCACAAAAUUUCUCGUAACGACGCCCCUAAAGCGGCUUACGAGAAAAAUUCUCGCUCAAAACGCCCCUCUCAAGUGAUCUGAAAUCAGACAAGACUACCCGCUGAACUUAAGCAUAUCAAUAAGCGGAGGAAAAGAAACUAACAAGGAUUCCCCUAGUAACGGCGAGUGAAGCGGGAAAAGCUCAUAUUUGAAACCUGUGCGGUUCGCCGCUUAGGAUUGUAGAGUGCAGAAGCGUUUUCCGUAGAAGCUUGGGUAUAACUCCUUUGGAACAGGGGAUCAUAGAGGGUGAGAAUCCCGUCUUUGACUCGAGUCCUUCUACUUUGUGCUACGCUUUCAACGAGUCGGUUGUUUGGGAAUGCAGCCCAAAAUGGGUGGUAAGUUUCAUCUAAAGCUGAAUAUUGGCGAGAGACCGAUAGCGAACAAGUACCGUGAGGGAAAGAUGAAAAGAACUUUGAAAAGAGAGUUAAACAGUACGUGAAAUUGUUGAAAGGGAAACGCUUGAAAUCAGAUUCGUGAUUGUAAAAUCAGCUGUUCGUUUUGGAAGGGGGGAGUAAUGCGAGCGCAAGCCGUAGUGCUUUUUCCUUUGGAAACGCACAGUGCACUUUUGCAGUCCCAAGUCAGCGCCGGUUUGAUUGAGUGGACAAAAGCAUGAGGAAUGUGGGUCCUUUUUUGGACUGUUUAUAGACUUGUGCAGAAUACACUGAAUUAGACCGAGGAAGGCUGUGCGCCGCAAGGCAAGUGUUCUGUGUGCUCGGUUUUUUACUAGAUCAAGACUGCUUGCAGACUUGGUCUGCGAAAGAAUCGACCCAUGCAAAAAACAUUUUCGCACAACGGGCGCUGACAAAAUGGUUUUAAACGACCCGUCUUGAAACACGGACCAAGGAGUCUAACAUGUAUGCGAGUAUUCGAGCAAUUAAACUCGUAUGCGCAAUCAACGUAAAAGGGUGCGGACAGCACCGACCGAUCCCGAGCCUUGUGCAAAGGAUUCGAGUAAGAGCAUAUCUGUUGGGACCCGAAAGAUGGUGAACUAUGCCUGAAUAGGGUGAAGCCAGAGGAAACUCUGGUGGAGGCUCGUAGCGAUUCUGACGUGCAAAUCGAUCGUCAAAUUUGGGUAUGGGGGCGAAAGACUAAUCGAACCAUCUAGUAGCUGGUUCCUGC